GAUAGCUCAGUCGGUUGAGCAUGAGACUCUUAAUCUGAGGGUUGUGGGUUCAAGCCCCAUACUGGGCAAACG
rnacentral:tRNA from 1 species